AUCUGCAGCCAUACCAUUUCAAGCUGUGAACGCUCAUCUCUCAUAAGCAAAACAGGAUUAGGAAAAGUCAGUGCUUGGAUGGGAAGGCUCCAGGGAAAUCUGGGUGAUGAAGAUU
ensembl:rRNA 5S_rRNA 5S ribosomal RNA